CAUAUCGUUCACAUUUUUCUCGAUAAAAAACGAUAUUUUGCAUGCUCGCCGCAUGAUUCAUCGGCUGAUAAAUAUUUAUUUCAUGCGAAUCGCUUAACCGCAGUGAUUCAAGAGAGCCAAGCCUACAACGUGUUUCCACGCGUACCGUGUGCGGAGUAAUUACGAAGAUCGGUCACGGAUGCACCGUAACGAAUCCGUUAGAUUUUUUUGAAAUGCGACUCGACGCGUUCCGACUAAAUUUCUUCGGGUUUCUCUGUUUUAAAUAAGAAAAAAUUGUAAAGGAAAGUUGAUCGGUUUCGGUCUGAAAAAGAUAACUCGAGUAAAAAAAAAAUCAGUGAUGGAAUUUCUAUGGCACGAGACGAUGCGAAGACUGUUGCGGUUGAACGUGUACCGACCAAUGCUCCGCGAACUCGUAUAAUCGAAGCAAUCCUUUAACGCACCUGGUGCAGGUGCAAUGCAUGGCUGUGCAACUAUGCACCCGUGUGCCUGAUUGGCUUCCUUGAAAUUCGAACGAAAAUCGGGCAGGACGCGCAUCUGUUUCGUUCCAUUCGAAAAGAACAAGUUUCUUUUAAAUACCGUGUUUUUGGAAUACGAUGUUUGUUCUCAGUAAAUCUCUUUCAUUACGUCCGAUUAUAACAAUUAUAAGAAUAAGUAGAAAUUACACUCUCAUGCAUGAGUGUUAAUCUGACAACUGUUAAUUUUAAACGUUUUACACAACAAGGGAUUAUCGUCGAAUCCAUAACUACUCGUUCUCCCCGCGACGAUUCGAGGAUAAUGGUUAUUGCGCAACGGUGAGGAAGAAAAAGAGGAGGAUAUUUUCACGACGGUGGAAAGGAGCCGAUCUCGAGGGAGGUUGAUGCGUCUGCCCCGCUGGGAUAAUUAAUAUAAGCCUCUUCCUCCCCGAGUUUAUCGAUCCCAUCACUACCGUCCACUGUUACGCGAAAGGAUUCUGCGCCCGAGUCGGUGCACGAGGCGGGCAGCAUUGUGACGACCCAGUAGUAGGAAAACACGCGGAACAACUCGCAUUCUUUCGUAGCUAGACGGGAUCGCGCGUCGCAAUAAGGCGGACGGUGAGAGGGAAAGAAAAAGGGGGACGUUUGGUAUAGUUGCACAGUCGAACGUUGCACCCGAUGCAAAGAGUUGUUGCUUGCACGUUACAAAUCGCACGCGAACGUUACCAAUCGGCUUUGAACGAGCCGUGGCAAAUCGGAACGACCUCCGAUAAAUCCGGCUUGGAUCGCCAUCGAAACAAUCGUUGCGAACACUUUAUUCCUCGAACAAAAGAUCGGCAAAAGUUCAUUUCGCGACAAUGGUUUCGCGAUGCAUCAACGAUAAGAAAAAUUGAAUAACCUAAAUCUAAGUAGAGGAUCGGAAUCGAGACACUCUUUUUUUUUUUUUCCACGAGAUUUCGUUCUUGGAGAAUUUAAUCGUCGUUAAUUAAAGGUAUACGUAUAACUUUAUUGGCCUCGUUUUUUAAUACGUUUUUCUUUUUUUCUUUUUGCAGAUAUCGGCAAAGAGGGAUCGAAGGAGCGAAUUCGUUGUUUUUCGUUUCUGAAAGAUUCUAAAAUUCGAUAGGGAAAUCGUUUGCUCAUAGCGUUUUUUUAUUUGACUCGGGCGAUUUAAAAUUAUUGAAAUUCAGAAAUGAUGUUUACAACUUUGAUUGAUAUUGACACAAGGGUUAAACGAUUAGAAUUUCCACGUAUCGAUUUGCACUAUUAUCUAUACUAAACUAUGCAGACUAUUAUUUAUGUAAUAAUGCAUACUCGGUAUUUAACCUCGUUCGACGCAGAUGAACCGUGUUGCGACAUAUGCUUUAUGUUUGACGAUCGAAGCGAUUCAAAGAAUAGUGGCCAAUAUGGCCACAUGGUGUAUGCUGGUUUAUCUCGGUAUCGGCCAAUUAAUUCGCAUGAAUCGGAUCACGGGUAAAAGAUGUUGAUCGUUCUCGAUCCAAGUCUCGCAGUCUAGUUCGUUAAUUGAUCUUUAAACAACACGUAACGUUGCAACGAUCCAUCCAUCGAAAAAUAAUUGACACGCAUGACACAUCUUUCGAAUAUUCUCGUCCCGCGAGAUAAAGAUUAGAACUAACUAACUCUCGACCAAUGAACACGAGAGAGAUGAAUAUAUAUCGAAUUAAAAUUUAAAUACAUCCAGACAUUUUUGAUAUCGUUUUUUAAAAAUUAUUUUCUUCGUUAGAA